rnacentral:rRNA from 1 species
AGCCUGUUGUUUUUUAUAAUAGGUUUUUUCUGCCCGGUGAAUUAUUUAACGGCCGCGGUACUCUGACCGUGCAAAGGUAGCAUAAUCAUUUGCCUCUUAAUUAGGGGCUGGUAUGAAGGGAAUCACAGGAUUUUAACUGUCUCUUUUUUUUAGUUGAAAUUUGCUGUUUUUGUGAAGAAGCAAAAAUUUGGAAAAAAGACAAGAAGACCCUAUUGAGCUUUAUUUAUAAGAAGGUUAGAUUAUUUGCUUUGAUAGUAGAGUAUUAAGCUUUAACAAAUUUGGUUGGGGCGACCAAAGAAGAUAAAAUCUUCUUUGUAUUAAAAAAACUUUUGGUUUUAAAAUGAUCCAAGAGCUUCUUGAUAGAAAGACGAAGUUACCAUAGGGAUAACAGCGUAAUUUUUUCGGAGAGUUCUUAUUGAGGAAAAAGAUUGCGACCUCGAUGUUGACUUAUUGUCUCCUUUUUGGUGCAGGAGCCAGGAGGGUUGGUCUGUUCGACCAUUAAAACAAU